rnacentral:rRNA from 1 species
GAGUUCGAUCAUGGCUCAGGGUGAACGCUGGCGGCGUGCUUAAGACAUGCAAGUCGAACGGUCAGGAGCUUGCUCCUGACAGUGGCGCACGGGUGAGGAACACGUAACUGACCUGCCCCAAAGUCGUGGAUAACUGGCCGAAAGGUCAGCUAAGACAUGAUGUGCUGUCCCCUCGUGUGGGGCCAGUAAAGGCUUGACCGCUUUGGGAUGGGGUUGCGUUCCAUCAGCUAGUAGGUAGGGUAAAGGCCUACCUAGGCGACGACGGAUAACCGGCCUGAGAGGGUGGCCGGUCACAGGGGCACUGAGACACGGGUCCCACUCCUACGGGAGGCAGCAGUUAGGAAUCUUCCACAAUGGGCGCAAGCCUGAUGGAGCGACGCCGCGUGAGGGAUGAAGGUUUUCGGAUCGUAAACCUCUGAAUCAGGGACGAAAGACGCCUUAGGCGGGAUGACGGUACCUGAGUAAUAGCACCGGCUAACUCCGUGCCAGCAGCCGCGGUAC